UACGAAGGGUGCAAGCGUUAAUCGGAAUUACUGGGCGUAAAGCGUGCGUAGGUGGUUUGUUAAGUCUGAUGUGAAAGCCCUGGGCUCAACCUGGGAACGGCAUUGGAUACUGGCUUACUAGAGUGCGGUAGAGGGUAGCGGAAUUUCCGGUGUAGCGGUGAAAUGCGUAGAGAUCGGAAGGAACAUCCGUGGCGAAGGCGGCUACCUGGACCAGCACUGACACUGAGGCACGAAAGCGUGGGGAGCAAACAGG
rnacentral:rRNA from 1 species